rnacentral:lncRNA from 1 species
CCUGAUCAAUUAUUGAGAUUAAUUACCAAUCUUCAUUAAGUUCUUCAAGAUAGCACUUGUUAGUCGUAGGCGAUUCUCCCGAUGAUGAGAAGUAAAAAUCAUUUUAAGUUGAAAAACAUAUUCCGUUCCUCGACCGUAGUCGAGAACCAUAUGUUUAAGUUGAUGGUGAACACGUUUUGUUCUUCGACCGUAGUCGAGGACCGCAUAUUAUAUUAAUAAAAAAUAUAUUUCAUUCCUCGACCAUAGUCGAGGACCGCAUAUUGUGU